GGGGUCCGCGCCUGAUUAGCUAGUUGGUGAGGUAACGGCUCACCAAGGCUGUGAUCAGUAGCCGUCCUGAGAGGGAGCACGGCCACACUGGCACUGAAACACGGGCCAGACUCCUACGGGAGGCAGCAGUGGGGAAUCUUGCACAAUGGAGGAAACUCUGAUGCAGCGACGCCGCGUGAGCGAUGAAGCCCCUCGGGGUGUAAAGCUCUUUCGACGGGAACGAUAAUGACGGUACCCGAAGAAGAAGCUGCGGCUAACUACGUGCCAGCAGCCGCGGUAAUACGUAGGCAGCAAGCGUUGUUCGGAAUUACUGGGCGUAAAGAGUGUGUAGGCGGUGUUCUAAGUCUGUUGUGAAAUCUCCCGGCUUAACUGGGAGGGUGCGGCGGAAACUGGAAUGCUAGAGGAUGGGAGAGGUAAGCGGAAUUCCUGGUGUAGCGGUGAAAUGCGUAGAUAUCAGGAGGAACACCUGUGGUGUAGACAGCUUACUGGACCAUUUCUGACGCUGAGACACGAAAGCGUGGGUAGCAAACAGGAUUAGAUACCCUGGUAGUCCACGCCCUAAACGAUGCAUACUUGGUGUGAGCGAUUCAUUUCGUUCGUGCCGGAGCUAACGCGUUAAGUAUGCCGCCUGGGGAGUACGGUCGCAAGGUUGAAAUUCAAAGGAAUUGACGGGGGCCCGCACAAGCGGAGGAACAUGUGGUUUAAUUCGAUGCAACGCGAAGAACCUUACCUGGGCUUGAAC
rnacentral:rRNA from 1 species